UAGUCAUGCUUCUCUGGAGAGACAGAACCAACAGGAUGUAUCAUGUGAUAAUGGAAGCUGAGAAGUCACAUGAUAGGCAGGCCGUCUGCAAGCCGGAGGACCAAGGAAACCGGUAGCAGCAUGCGGUGGCCGGCUGUCGCCUUCUCGCUGGCAUUGUCACGCUUCAUUAGGAUUGCUUUUGUUGCUACGCGGAGGUUUCCACUGUUGCUAGCUGUUGGCUCCUCGCGUGAGCAAAGAGGGAUUGUUCAAUGUUUCCCCGUAACAAGCCGGGAGAGGCUGCUGAGUCGCUUCUGGUUUUGAGGAGAAGAACCAGAGACAGACAGACAGACACAGAGACACACAGAAAGUGCGGGAGACGGAGGCAGAGAGAGAAAGAGAGGGACGGGGACACACAGAGACGUAAGGAGAAAGGCAGCCGGGCAAAGACACAGAAACAGACCUAAAGCGACAAAGAGAUUUGAGAACAGAUACCCGCACACAACACACAGAGUGACAGUCACAGAUGGACAUACCCACACAUGCAUGGAGAGAAGAAACACGUCGCAAAGACACACACACACACACACACACACACACAUGCACACACAGAGACAGAGAGAUCCCCUAACACACAGACCGAAAGAGAAAACACACUGAGAUGCAGAUUGACACGGGAGAGAGAGACAGGACAGUGACAAAGCGACAAAGGGGGACGCAGAGGAAGACACAGGCACUGAACGAUUAAAUGGUGCCGGCGUGAAGGUCUGUGUCGCCGUGGUGUCGCAGGAGGCCCUGGUGUCAGCGUAACAGUGACGAGAACUGACAUUACUGAGUGCCCACCCCGUGCCCGGCGCAGUUGAUGGGAGCAACUCACAGCGUCCCCGGGACCCAGACACUAUUAGCGUCCAGUGCUCCGGGUGGGAACGGCGAAGCUUGGAACUGAACAACGCGUGCACGGUCACACCGCCGGCAAAAGGCGGGGUGACGUUUUAGACUCGGGUUCCCCUGCCUCUGAAGCCCAAGUUCCCAAGCCCCACACUCCAAUGCUUCCCGGAAGACCUGCACUCGGGUGUCGGCUCUGCUACGCAGCGGCCAGCUGGACGGCCUUCUUGGGCCAGCAGCCCGGCGUGGGGCCGCAAUGUGGCCGCCUGAGAUGUUCCAGGGGCCGGCGUGCGCCCAGCCUCUCUCCGUCCCAGCCGGGGCCGUCCUACGCCCCCCACUCUCCACGGGGCAGGCUCCACACGGUCAGGAACCUUGCUGCCACUGUCCCCCAUUCUCUUUGCGGGACUCGAUUAGGACGCCAAGUUGCAGGUUGCCUGUGAACAGAGAAAGAGGUGAGAAGUUCGUUUCUGGGAAGGAAUGCGUUUACCUUGGGGGGAAGAGGGCAGUAAGGCGUCAGGGAAGAUGGGACAGCCCCAGCUUGGGCUAAGAUUCGCGAACAAGGGCACCUUGGAGCCCACGACAGGUGGGACACUCUAUCUGUCCCCGGCGAGGGCUGCCACAGGGUGGGGUAGACAGGGUGUUAAAGAGGAGGGAUGUGGCUUGCUGCCUGCUCCGUGUUCAUUGAUGUGUGAUGUGUCGCUGUCUCAUGUACGAUAUCUCUCACGUAUUCGUCCAAUCUGUCUGUCUGUCUCUCUAGACUGUAAGCCUCAUGAAGGCAGAGAUUUUUGUCUGUUUUUUUUUUUUCUUUCCCACUACUGAAUCUUCAGGGUCUGGUAUAUAGUAGAUGCUUAAUAAAUGUUUACUGAAGGAAUGAACGCAAGUCUGUAUCUCUCUUGAUUCUCAGACCAUGCAUAUUAAAACCAGAAUUUUCUCCUCCCUGGCCGAGGCGGUGGGGGAUCGUGCAGAAGCUGGAGGUCCUUCUCGGUUUCUUUCAAGAAUAACACUCCAGAAGGCUCGGUGGGUUUUGAGCAGCAGUGUUCAAUUCGUGUUUCGGAAGGACGGCUCUGAUGGUGGCGUGGGUGGG